UCGUCUGUCUGAGGGUCGG
rnacentral:rRNA from 1 species